rnacentral:rRNA from 1 species
AGAGUUUGAUCAUGGCUCAGGACGAACGCUGGCGGCGUGCUUAACACAUGCAAGUCGAACGAUGAAGCCCUUCGGGGUGGAUUAGUGGCGAACGGGUGAGUAACACGUGGGCAAUCUGCCCUUCACUCUGGGACAAGCCCUGGAAACGGGGUCUAAUACCGGAUAACACUUCCACUCGCAUGGGUGGGGGUUGAAAGCUCCGGCGGUGAAGGAUGAGCCCGCGGCCUAUCAGCUUGUUGGUGAGGUAGAAGCUCACCAAGGCGACGACGGGUAGCCGGCUUGAGAGGGCGACCGGCCACACUGGGACUGAGACACGGCCCAGACUCCUACGGGAGGCAGCAGUGGGGAAUCUUGCGCAAUGCGCGAAAGCGUGACGCAGCAACGCCGCGUGAGGGAAGAAGGCCUUCGGGUUGUAAACCUCUUUCAGGAGGGACGAAGGUUCAGGCGCGAACAGCGUCCUGGAUUGACGGUACCUCCAGAAGAAGCCCCGGCUAACUACGUGCCAGCAGCGGCGGUAAUUC